GUCGGCGUGGCGGAAUUGGUAGACGCGCACGGUUGAGGGCCGUGUGCCCGAAAGGGCUUGAGGGUUCAAAUCCCUCCGCCGACA
rnacentral:tRNA from 1 species